rnacentral:tRNA from 1 species
GGACUGGUAGCUCAGCUGGAUAGAGCAACAGCCUUCUAAGCUGUGGGUCGCGGGUUCGAAUCCCGCCCGGUUCA